GUAAGUAUACUGUAUUGUACAUGACUUAAUUACUAUCAAUAUUAUUUGUAAGUUUUUUUGUGAAACUGACUGCUGAAUUGUUUUUCCAUGCUUAUGGUACAUCUAAGUCGUAUGCUUUUUUUAAAACCACCUCCAGGGUAUAAUGUCUGCUGGCCCAUAAAAUCUGUUUGUAGAUAUAGGAAGAUGUGGUAUGAGUGCCAAUGAGACAACUCUCCAUCCAAGUCACAAUUUAUAAAAGUACACCAUUAUAGGUCAAGGUACGGUCUUCAACACAGAGCCUAGUUUUUAUCGAAAAUGAUAGUAUAUAGGUUAAAUAAUUUAUUCAUACAUUUUUAAUUGACUGACCUAGAAUUAUCAUGAUAUUGAGGAAUUUAAACCAUUCCUAUUUUUAAAAAGGGACAAAAUUAAAAUUUAUAUAUAAUAACAGGGUGAUACAAAUGAGAAAAACUCAAGAAAUUGUUUUCAAUUAAGAUAAAUACAUGCAGUUAAUAAUGGUUUUCAGUUGUUUUUUAAAGCAGAGGCAGAUUUAGUUUAAAGUUGGAAAAAAUUGUUUGUACCAACAAAAAUAAAUACACGAAGUUAAUCCAGAAUUUAUAUGUGUUUAUAAUUUUUUUUUAUGUUUAGGUUGUCAGCCAGAUGAAAAGAACAAUGCAGUUCAAAAGUCAAAAUGUGGAUAAGCUGCGGUACAAGGUCCUACUUUUGCAGAUUUUCAUAUUUUGCAUGAAUGAAUUUGAAGUUUAUAUCAUGGAGGGCAGAGAAUUUUCCUGCUUCUGAAGGAUAAAUGUAAAACAUCUUGUUCGAAGGAUUGAAAUUCAUCACUUAGAAUAAAAGGAGAAAACACAGAAACAAGACCAAAAUAAAUUCAAAGACAAAAGUCAGAUCAGUUAUUAUUUUCAUCACUCAGUCAAUGAAUUGAAGUUCUAUUAGAUAUCUAAAGAUAUUAAAACCACAAUAAUGACAAUGUUCUGUGCUGAUGGCCAAAAAGUGGACUAUACAUUACGAUCACACAAUGCUGGAUGAUAAGAAACUAUUAAUUUUUUGGGUGGAGGGAUAUCCAAAAAAAAAUUAGAUUUAUGUAAAAAGCUACUAGUAUGUUAAGCCUAUUAAUAGCGUUUUCAUUGAUUUCAAAUGGGAAAAAAUUGUGUUGUGUUUGUUUCAAAAAAGUAUUCUAGAAUUCAUAAAUAAACAUAUAUUGAUACUUA